UGCUUAUAUUUUUUAACAAAACCAGAUGGUUAUUGGUCUUGUACUUUAAUCUAUGUCUUGUUAUUGAUUGCAUUUUCUUUGUUAUGUUUUGCUUUGUUUUACCAUUGAAAGUAACUGAAUAUUUCUUGUACCCUGGUCUUUAGACUUACACAGAGUAUUGGAAUGCUAUCCAGCACAUUUUUUAGGAGUACUCGGAAGGAAGAUAUUGUAGUUCCUAUGGGGUGGUUAUGGGCCAGGUUUGGGCCAUGUCAAGGUCAGCCAGAAUCUAACCUAUUUACUAAUUGAGCCAAAAUCAGACUUCACAUACAUUAUUUUAAUGCAAGCCGAGGAUAAACAUCUUAUGCGAGAAGUAAGAUUCAUUUUUCUCUACUUGUUACUUUAUUAAAAGCAUGCCACUAUUUUUCUCUACAGUCCAAUCUGUUGAUAUGAUGGACUCCCUGUAGAUGGGAGAUGCACCAAAAAUUUGCCAAAUUGGAGGAUCCUAACAAUUAUUCUUAAGAGCAGUAACAACCCAUGUUCCGAGAUUUGUUUUGGGAGAUGAGUGUUUGAUGAUGCAGGCUGAGGUGUAUCAUUCGUACAUGGAAGUGUUACGUGGAUAUGAGAUUUUUAAUGCAGAUGGAGAUAUGUGGAGGAAGCAAAGAAAGACUGCAAGCUUGGAGUUCCCAUCAAAGAACUUGAGAGAUUCCAGUACUCUUGUAUUCAGAGACUAUGCCCUCAAGCUAUCAACUAUCUUAUGCCAAGCUUUUAUACAAAACCAACAAGAUGUCCAGGUAGUGCAAAAAGGUGGGCCCAAUCAGGAUGAGCACUUGGCCUGAAAAUUGAACAGGUCGACUCAGCGAGGAGGGCGACAACCAAUGAUCUGACCCAACAUACAGCUGUUGCCCAAUUGAUGUGUGGAUACACCUGUUUUUCAUGGUGGAAUCCACAUUUUGCAAGAAAGAAUUGGAUGUUCUACGCAUGUGCAAUUCCCACCGGCAACGGUAUAUCAUGCUAAAUUAGCUUUCUGUGCAGUUUUUGGUCUUAUACAAAAAAACUUUUGGUCUUAUAUAAAAAGUUUCAGGAUGACAAAUAGCCAACAUUUGGCAACAAGGACUUUUCCUCAAUUAUUGGCUUGCCGAUGUGCAAGUUAUAGAUUGGAGCCUUUUGUUGUUGUUGUAUAAUUUUUGUGAUGAUAGAAUUAGAGUUUCGUGCUUGGCAGAGAAAGGGUUAAGCAGAGACUGGCACUUUAUCAUGGGGUGUUGCCCAUAUAUAUGUAGUUCUCCAAUGAUGCAGAAGAGACAUUCUCUUGAGCUCUGAAUCUCCUGCUGGUAUGGAAUUAUCGAAUGCUUGCACUCAUGGAUCUUGAUUGUUUUUAUUUCUCCUUGUUUUCCCCUUUAAUAGUUAAUUCUAUAAAAUUUUCAUGCACCAGAGCCGAGGUUUGUUGAAGGAGGGAGAGCAUGUUACUCUUGUCCAAAGCUACAAUGCUCAGUUACUGCUGUUGAUGAUUACUACUGAAUGUUUUGGCCAGGCAUUGGUGAAAAAUGCAACAGAUGUUAUUCUGAAUAUUCCACAGGGUUGGCACUAGGCAGAACAUGC